UUGACAGCUGCGGGCCAAAGAUUUACAGCAAUCCGCAGAUUUCAAAAGGCAAAUCUAAUUAGUGAUUCAGCUACUGGGGACACGAGUCACAAUGAGGCAGUAUCGGGCCUGACAGCUGGCACCAGGAGAGCGCGCACCGCGGACGUCAGAACAAAACCUGCAUUAUCCAGCGUCCCUGCAACAACGGGAAAUAUCUGCACAUCAAGGCGUGAAAUAAGCCAAGAGACGACACAGAAGGCCAGCAGACAGCGGUUACUGAAGGUUCUGUGAACCCAAAGCUGCCGGUUCAAAUGCCAGAAUAAGCACAGCCGGACCGUUCGAGUUAGGUACUUGGCCUGAAUCCCUGUACUAGAAAAAACAAUUCCUGCAUUUUUUUUAAAUUAACACUGACACUAAAUAGCACACUUUUUUCCUCACUCAUUACAUUAAAGUAGAUGGAGAUCUGGGUAGAAAAUAACCAUGUUUGAUGUUGAAAAACGUUCAUGUCAAGUUGAACCAUGUUCAGCAGAUAUGAACGCUUUAGAUGUUCUUAGUAUGAUGAGGAAGUUGACUGUUCAGAGGUUAGUGUGUAGUGAUGUAUUGUGAAAGAAGUCUGAGGCAAUGACGAGAAUGAGGCUUAAGUCAUGCAAUCAGAUUGUUCACCAGUCUUAGCAGCG